GGUUCAAAUAUGCAAUCUUUGCAUUGUCUAUAGAGAGGUUAUGACUUAAAUGUCAUGUUCAAUGGAAUUACACUGAGAUCU
rnacentral:snoRNA from 1 species